rnacentral:rRNA from 1 species
CCUACGUGUGGCAGCAGUGAGGAAUAUUGGUCAAUGGGCGAGAGCCUGAACCAGCCAAGUCGCGUGAAGGAUGACGGCCCUACGGGUUGUAAACUUCUUUUGUCAGGGAGCAAUUGGGUCCACGCGUGCGCUUAGCGAGAGUACCUGAAGAAAAAGCAUCGGCUAACUCCGUGCCAGCAGCCGCGGUAAUACGGCGGGUGCAAGCUGUGUCCCGAAUCAUUGGGCGUAAAGAGUUCGUAGGCGGCAUGUAAAGUCAGGUGUGAAACGGGCAGGGUCAACCUGUGUAUGGCACUUGAUACUUGCGAGCUGGAAUGGGGUAGAGGUAAAGGGAAUUCCUGGUGUAGCGGUGAAAUGCUUAGAUAGCAGGAGGAACAUCGGUGGAGUAAGCGCUUUACUGGGCCGUAAUUGACGCUGAGGAACGAAAGCCAGGGUAGCAAAUGGGAUUAGAUACCCGAGUAGUC